rnacentral:rRNA from 1 species
CCCCAAAGAGGGGAAUAACUUUUCGAAAGGGAAGCUAAUCCCCCGAGUGAUCGGCCAUUCGUUUGGUCGAUAAAGCUCUGGCGCGUGGGAGGGGCCUGCGGCCCAUCAGCUAGUUGGUAGGGUAAUGGCCUACCAAGGCGAAGACGGGUAGGUGGUCUGAGAGGAUGAUCAACCACAAUGUCCCUGACACACGGGCCAUACUCCUACGGGAGGCAGCAGUGAGGAAUAUUGGACAAUCACCGAAACCAGGAUCCAGCAUCGCCGCGUGGACGACGAAGGCCUUCGGGUUGUAAAGUCCUUUUCAGAGGGAAGAUGAAGGACGGUACCUCUGGAAUAAGUCUCGGCUAACUACGUGCCAGCAGCCGCGGUAACACGUAGGAGGCAAGCGUUAUCCGGAUUUAUUGGGCGUAAAGCGCACGCAGGCGGCUAGGUAAGUCGGGUGUGAAAGCCCUGGACUCAAUCCGGGGAGGUCAUUCGAUACUACUUGUCUUGAGAACUGGAGAGGGAAGUGGAAUUCUCGGUGUAGUGGUGAUAAGAGUAGAUAUCGAGAGGAACACCAGUGGGGAAGGCGGCUUCCUGGCCCGUUUCUGACGCUAAGGUGCGAAAGCGUGGGGAGCAAACGGACUUAGAUACUCCGGUAGUCCUCGCCGUAAACGAUGGGUACUAGGAGUGGGGGAUGCAAAAUUCCCCGUGCCACAGCUAACGCAAUAAGU